AACGCUGGCGGCGUGCCUCAGACAUGCAAGUCGAACGAUUAAAGCUCCCUUCGGGGAGUGCAUAAAGUGGCGCACGGGUGAGUAACACGUAAGUAAUCUACCCUCGAGUGGGGAAUAACGUUCGGAAACGGACGCUAAUACCGCAUAAUGCAGCGGCACCGCAAGGUGACAGUUGUUAAAGAUUUAUUGCUUGAGGAGGAGCUUGCGGCAGAUUAGCUAGUUGGUAAGGUAAUGGCUUACCAAGGCUACGAUCUGUAUCCGGUCUAAGAGGACGGUCGGACACACUGACACUGAAUAACGGGUCAGACUCCUACGGGAGGCAGCAGUCGGGAAUUUUGGGCAAUGGGGGAAACCCUGACCCAGCAACGCCGCGUGAAGGAUGAAGUAUUUCGGUAUGUAAACUUCGAAAGAAUAGGAAGAAUUAAUGACGGUACUAUUUAUAAG
rnacentral:rRNA from 1 species